rnacentral:rRNA from 1 species
AUUGAACGCUGGCGGCAGGCUUAACACAUGCAAGUCGAGCGGUAACAGAGAGAAGCUUGCUUUUCUGCUGAUGAGCGGCGGACGGGUGAGUAAUGCCUAGGAAUCUGCCUAGUAGUGGGGGAUAACUUGCCGAAAGGUAAGCUAAUACCGCAUACGUCCUACGGGAGAAAGGAGGGGACCUUCGGGCCUUUCGCUAUUAGAUGAGCCUAGGUCGGAUUAGUUAGUUGGUGAGGUAAUGGCUCACCAAGACCGCGAUCCGUAACUGGUCUGAGAGGAUGAUCAGUCACACUGGAACUGAGACACGGUCCAGACUCCUACGGGAGGCAGCAGUGGGGAAUAUUGGACAAUGGGGGGAACCCUGAUCCAGCCAUGCCGCGUGUGUGAAGAAGGUCUUAGGAUUGUAAAGCACUUUAAGUUGGGAGGAAGAGCAGUUAACUAAUAUUUGACUGUUUUGACGUUACCGACAGAAUAAGCACCGGCUAACUUCGUGCCAGCAGCCGCAGUAAAAC